UGUUAUUAGUUGCCAGCAUUUAGUUGGGCACUCUAAUGAGACUGCCGGUGAUAAACCGGAGGAAGGUGGGGACGACGUCAGAUCAUCAUGCCCCUUAUGACCUGGGCAACACACGUGCUACAAUGGGAAGUACAACGAGUCGCAAACCGGCGACGGUAAGCUAAUCUCUUAAAACUUCUCUCAGUUCGGACUGGAGUCUGCAACUCGACUCCACGAAGGCGGAAUCGCUAGUAAUCGCGAAUCAGCAUGUCGCGGUGAAUACGUUCCCGGGUCUUGUACACACCGCCCGUCAAAUCAUGGGAGUCGGAAGUACCCAAAGUCGCUUGGCUAACUUUUAGAGGCCGGUGCCUAAGGUAAAAUCGAUGACUGGGAUUAAGUCGUAACAAGGUAGCCGUAGGAGAACCUGCGGCUGGAUCACCUCCUUUCUAAGGA
rnacentral:rRNA from 1 species